GUUUUCAACCGAAACUUUGACGGCUUAAUUCCUCCUCCCGGUUACAGCGAUUAUACGUUGAUCGUCCUUUACCGUAUCUCAUUGGGUCAAAGCUGUUCAUGGAACAAGAAGAUGUAGGUCUUGGAGAGCUGUCCAGUGAAGAAGGCUCUGUAGGCAGUGAUCGUGGCAGUAUUGUGGACAGUGAGGAAGAGAAAGAAGAAGAGCACACGACACAAAUGAGUGAUGAAGAAGAGGAUGAUGAUGGUUGUGACCUUUUUGCUGACUCCGAGAAGAAGGAGGAAGAUAUUGAGGACAUUGAAGAAAGUACUAGACCUAAAAGAAGCAGACGUACGUCAUUUGCUAAUGAGCUGGCUGCCCGCAUCAAGGGUGACGCCGUGGGCCGAGUGGACGAGGAGCCAACAACCUUAUCCUCAGGAGAAGCAAAACCUCGGAAGACACUGAAAGAGAAGAAGGAAAGGAGAACUUCAGACGGUGGGCCUUUUCCAUCAAUUCUAUUAAUUUAGGAGACUUUUGACUCAGAUGAAGAGGAUAACUUAUUCGCACCCCCUAAGCUGACCGAUGAGGACUUCUCACCAUUUGGCUCUCGAGGUGGCCUGUUUAGUGGGGGCAAGGGGCUCUUUGAUGAUGAGGAUGAGGAG
rnacentral:lncRNA from 1 species